GUUUAAGCCGCCGCGGUAACACGUAGGGGGCGAGCGUUGUCCGGAAUCAUUGGGCGUAAAGAGCUCGUAGGCGGCUCAGUAAGUCGGGUGUGAAACCCUCAGGCUCAACCUGGGGACGCCACCCGAUACUGCUGUGGCUAGAGUCCAGUAGGGGAGUGUGGAAUUCCCGGUGUAGCGGUGAAAUGCGCAGAUAUCGGGAGGAACACCAGCGGCGAAGGCGGCACUCUGGGCUGGUACUGACGCUGAGGAGCGAAAGCGUGGGUAGCAAACAGGAUUAGAUACCCGAGUAGUCC
rnacentral:rRNA from 1 species